CCUACGGGUGGCAGCAGUGGGGAAUAUUGGGCAAUGGGCGCAAGCCUGACCCAGCAACGCCGCGUGAAGGAAGAAGGCUUUCGGGUUGUAAACUUCUUUUGUCAGGGACGAAGCAAGUGACGGUACCUUACGAAUAAGCCACUGCUAACUACGUGCCAGCCGCCGCGGUAAGACGUAGGUGGCAAGCGUUAUCCGGAUUUACUGGGUGUAAAGGGUGUGUAGGCGGGGAAGCAAGUCAGAUGUGAAAACCACGGGCUCAACCUGUGGACUGCAUUUGAUACUGUUUUUCUUGAGUGCUGGAGAGGCAAGCGGAAUUCAGUGUGUAGCGGUGAAAUGCGUAGAGAUACGGAGGAACACCAGUGGCGAAGGCGGAUUGCUGGACAGUAACUGACGCUGAGGCGCGAAAGCGUGGGGAGCAAACAGGAUUAGAUACCCUUGUAGUC
rnacentral:rRNA from 1 species